AGAGUUUGAUCAUGGCUCAGGAUGAACGCUGGCGGCGUGCCUAACACAUGCAAGUCGAGCGAUUUACUUCGGUAAAGAGCGGCGGACGGGUGAGUAACGCGUGGGUAACCUGCACUGUACACACGGAUAACAUACCGAAAGGUAUGCUAAUACGAGAUAAAAUACUUUUAUCGCAUGGUAGAAGUAUCAAAGCUUUUGCGGUACAGGAUGGACCCGCGUCUGAUUAGCUAGUUGGUAAGGUAACGGCUUACCAAGGCGACGAUCAGUAGCCGACCUGAGAGGGUGAUCGGCCACAUUGGAACUGAGACACGGUCCAAACUCCUACGGGAGGCAGCAGUGGGGAAUAUUGCACAAUGGGCGAAAGCCUGAUGCAGCAACGCCGCGUGAGCGAUGAAGGCCUUCGGGUCGUAAAGCUCUGUCCUCAAGGAAGAUAAUGACGGUACUUGAGGAGGAAGCCCCGGCUAACUACGUGCCAGCAGCCGCGGUAAUACGUAGGGGGCUAGCGUUAUCCGGAAUUACUGGGCGUAAAGGGUGCGUAGGUGGUUUCUUAAGUCAGAGGUGAAAGGCUACGGCUCAACCGUAGUAAGCCUUUGAAACUGGGGAACUUGAGUGCAGGAGAGGAGAGUGGAAUUCCUAGUGUAGCGGUGAAAUGCGUAGAUAUUAGGAGGAACACCAGUUGCGAAGGCGGCUCUCUGGACUGUAACUGACACUGAGGCACGAAAGCGUGGGGAGCAAACAGGAUUAGAUACCCUGGUAGUCCACGCCGUAAACGAUGAGUACUAGCUGUCGGAGGUUACCCCCUUCGGUGGCGCAGCUAACGCAUUAAGUACUCCGCCUGGGAAGUACGCUCGCAAGAGUGAAACUCAAAGGAAUUGACGGGGACCCGCACAAGUAGCGGAGCAUGUGGUUUAAUUCGAAGCAACGCGAAGAACCUUACCUAAGCUUGACAUCCUUUUGACCGAUGCCUAAUCGCAUCUUUCCCUUCGGGGACAGAAGUGACAGGUGGUGCAUGGUUGUCGUCAGCUCGUGUCGUGAGAUGUUGGGUUAAGUCCCGCAACGAGCGCAACCCUUGCCUUUAGUUGCCAGCAUUAAGUUGGGCACCCUAGAGGGACUGCCAGGGAUAACCUGGAGGAAGGUGGGGAUGACGUCAAAUCAUCAUGCCCCUUAUGCUUAGGGCUACACACGUGCUACAAUGGGUGGUACAGAGGGCAGCCAAGUCGUGAGGCGGAGCUAAUCCCUUAAAGCCAUUCUCAGUUCGGAUUGUAGGCUGAAACUCGCCUACAUGAAGCUGGAGUUACUAGUAAUCGCAGAUCAGAAUGCUGCGGUGAAUGCGUUCCCGGGUCUUGUACACACCGCCCGUCACACCACGGAAGUUGGGGGCGCCCGAAGCCACUUAGCUAACCCUUUUGGGAAGCGAGUGUCGAAGGUGAAAUCAAUAACUGGGGUGAAGUCGUAACAAGGUAGCCGUAUCGGAAGGUGCGGCUGGAUCACCUCCCUU
rnacentral:rRNA from 1 species